rnacentral:lncRNA from 13 species
GGCUUUCUUAUGGCAGAGGAAAAAGCACAAUGGCAGAAACCACAGGAUAAUUGUUAAUGGACACAGGAUGAUCAUACUUGCGAACAGUGGGAAGGCAACAAAUGCUGAACCUUGAGAAGGAUUCAUUUAUUCGGUAAAUAUGAAA